CCAAUUGGCUGUAAAAGAUGGAAGGAAAAUUUACCCAUUGCAACAGCAUGGAUGGACCUGGAGAACAUUAUGUUAAGUGAAAUAAGCCAAUCAAAGAAAGACAGGUACCAUAUGAUGUCAUUCACAUGUGGGAUUUAAUGAACAAACUGAACUA